CCUAGCUAAGGCUUUGUGGCUGGAGAAUUUGACAUACUAAUAAUUCAGAUGGUUCAGGGCCACAGAGAAUGAGAUUUGGCCAGGGAUUAAGCACCAGCUGAUAAAAUCAAGGUCCACAGAGAACAAUUUGGAAGCCCUUGAUUUAGAAAAGCUUGUGUUUUAUUCCCUUUUCAGAUUUCCUGAGAUUUCCUUCAACGUGGGAAAAUAGAGAAAGAUCUAUGAACCUGUGAGUCUGCAUGCUUGUUUUCCUGGGCAUAGACAUAGCUCAGAAGAAGACCAUGGAUAUGGACCAUGGAGAUGUGCAAUAAAGAACUUCUUUCUGCAAAGAUUAUGCUUCUCUUCACACUGUGUUGGGGCAAAUCUCAGCUGCACAGAUUCACAGGAAAUGGUUCUGACCCUAGAUCCUGGAGUAGAGUUUCAUGGAGGCUGAAAUGUUCUGGAAGAUGAGGGACAGAGAAACUCAGCUCAGUUCUGUUAUUUUGAAAAGACUGCUGGGAGAAACUCAAAGUUUAGGUGAUGCUGUAAAACAGACAAGCAAGCUUGAAAAGGAAUUUGGGAGCUGAGGUAUGUAUGUUUGUGCUCCUUUGAGAAAUUGGAGCUGUGUGUGUAACUUGGGAGAGAAAGUGCACUUAGGCUUCGGUGGAGAUGCUGGGGAAGGAGACGUUUUGAUUUAUGUGUCCAAUAUAUGUGAGUUGAGGGC
rnacentral:lncRNA from 12 species